UCCCUAUCUACUAUCUAGCGAAACCGCAGCAAAGGGCACGGACUUUGCAUAAUCAGCGGGGAAAGAAGACCCUGUUGAGCUUCACUCUAGUCUGACCUUGUGAAAAGACAUGAGAGGUGUAGAAUAAGUGGGAGCAGCAAUGCGCCGGUGAAAUACCACUACUCUUAUCGUUUUUUUACUUAUUGGAUGAAGUGGAAGCGGACCGCAAGGUCCACGUUCUGGGCUUAACUCUC
rnacentral:rRNA from 1 species